rnacentral:rRNA from 1 species
UACGUAGGGUGCGAGCGUUAAUCGGAAUUACUGGGCGUAAAGCGCACGUAGGUGGCGACGUAAGUCGGGUGUGAAAGCCCCGGGCUCAACCUGGGAAUUGCAUUCGAGACUGCAUUGCUGGAGUACGGAAGAGGAAGGCGGAAUUCCCGGUGUAGCGGUGAAAUGCGUAGAUAUCGGGAGGAACAUCAGUGGCGAAGGCGGCCUUCUGGUCCAGUACUGACACUCAAGUGCGAAAGCGUGGGGAGCAAACAGG